GCCAUAAUCUUGCUUAGUAUAUUACGAGAAGGCGAUAUAAGAUGGAACCCAAACUAAUUUUCAUCACUAUUGUUUUACUGAUAUUUCCGAUUAUUUCUUUUGCAUAUGAUAAAGAAAAAUGUGAUGCUCCACCCGCUGUUAGAAGCCCUUGCUUGGCCAUGACUAUGAAAUGGAGCUUUUAUAAAAACCACUGUAUUGAAUACCUUGAUGGUGGAUGUGGUCGCUCUAAAAACAGAUUUUCUACAAAGGAGGAAUGCGAAUCAUCUUGCAAAAAAUAAUACGCAUUAAGACAGUUUAUUUGAAAAGAAAUAAAGAAAUGAGAACAUUCAGUAUGUCUAAUGAAAAAUAUGAGCAAAAAUAAAAGAAAAAGUCUAAAUUUCAA